rnacentral:rRNA from 1 species
GACGAACCGUGCAAACGUUGUUCGGAAUCACUGGGCUUAAAGGGCGCGUAGGCGGGCAAGCAAGUCCGGGGUGAAAUCUUUCGGCUCAACCGGAAAAGUGCCUUGGAUACUGCUUGUCUGGAGGGAGGUAGGGGCAUGCGGAACUUCUGGUGGAGCGGUGAAAUGCGCAGAUAUCAGGAAGAACACCCGUGGCUAAGGCGGUUCUCUAGUACGGUACUGACGCUGAGACGCGAAAGCGUGGGGAGCGAACAGG